ensembl:lncRNA
GCCUGGCUUGUUUUUUUGCUGGUCUAUAGGUGAAAUUGAGUAUUUCACUGUAACCAUGGCAACGCGAGGGGCCGCACCUGCACGUCGUUUUGUUAAUUAGGUCCCCCGAUCUAAUGAGUUCACCUGGUGCGGCUCGCGCUGUGUUUGGUUAAGUGCAGUGAUCCAAACAGGGUCGUUUCCCACCACCGUUCAGACGUCGCCGUCUACAAGAUACGGUUAACCGCAAGGUUGCGAACACUUUUCGAAGUAAAACUGACUAGGCCUAUCUGGACCGGAUGUCACAAAGAACAAACUGCUAUUCUGUGAGUAUCACAAUUGAGCCAUGAAGAAGAAACUGCGAACUGUAAGUCUUUUUUAUUUUUCCUUUUUGUACUGGGCCAUCAUUUUGGCCUAAUGGUUGGUUGAGGUGGAUAGGUCACCCUAUCAGGUCACCUAUCCACCUCAACAAAACAAAAAUCCUUACUAAUUAAGUCAACAUACACCUAUCAGGUGUAUGUUGAUUUAAUUAGUAAGGAUUUUUGUUGGGACAUGGGCUAAUUCAGUGUUUAGUUUGAACAAGUAAUGAAUGCUUUGUCGUUAGAAGUAUAGGUUCAUGUACAUAUUAAAGACAUACUCCAGGGUUGUGUUCCGAUCUCUUUUCUUCCCACUUUUCUACUACUUUCCUGUACAAUGCAUCUCCAUCACACGUGUGUUGUCUUACUGAUAGGGGGGUGGUCUGAGUGACCAGAGAAGCAUGCUAGGGUGCUGUGCAGUCUGAAGUCUACAGUUCUGUAGGCGUGCCCCCUCAGAAGGGACCAAGUGUUUAAGAGGCUGUCGCAAUGACAGUUACAUGAAUUGGAAUGUCCUUCAAGAUGGUGUCGGGGUUUCCCCUGAUGUGAAAUGCCAGGGGCAAGGUGUGCGGGCUCUUCCCCUGGGCAACUGGAACACAACCUUGGUCUUGCAUCAGAGAACCAUGGAGCACAGUUCAACAUUCCUCUCCAUACUUCUGGAAGCCCUAUGGUGUCUCAACCUCCCCAGUGGAAGUUGUGCACAAUUGCAGUUCAGAAAGGACACUUGAUGGGAUCUUACCAGGAUGGGUUCUGAUUUGAGGGGACCCAACUGCCAUUGCCACAAAUGACUUUGCAGUUAUGCCUGAGAAAGGUUUGCUGCAUCUGAGCCAGCAAAGACCUCAUUGGCCUGCAUCACAACGGUGCGGUAAAGCGAACGCAAAACCACCCCACUGCUGAGAUUUUACAGCCAAUUCCGUGCUCGAUCGUACCCUCACUCGCAAACAAGACCCCGAGGUACUUGAACACCUAAACUUGGGCUGUAGAUUAAUUUCCUACGCGGAGUAGGCAAUCGACUGAUUUCCUGCUGCGGGUCAUGGCCUCAUGUCUAUCACAAAAAGGAUUGGUGACCAAGCGCCGCCCCGACUGAGGCCGAGGGGAACGAAGCGGACUUGUUGCCGACACGGCAGGCACAGCUCUCGCUUUAGGAGAACAUGGGUCCGGUCUGUUGUGACCCCUGACCUGUCACGACCCCUGACCUUUACUGCCAGUGCCCCGACCCCAGCGGGUCAUGUCCUGCAGGUGGUGGGCCAACAGGAAGCAGAGGGGGGGGUGCCACGUUGCUUUUUCAGGUUGUGCCUGUGCCCUCUGUAUCAAACCCGGGCUCUAGCCGGCGAGCCCUCCGUCUGGGCCUGGCUCCAGACGGGGGGGCCCUCCCCCCCCGUCUGGACCACCUCUUCUCUAUUUUCAGAUACAGACCAGCGGUACUUCAUUGAAAACGUCUGAAUCUUUUUAUUCUGACGUUUCUGGAUGACUUGAGUGUAUGGCCUCAAUCCACCGUGGUAACGAAGCGGGUUUUUCAGGCACACGUUCUGGCUUUUAAUUCCAUCUCCCACCCACUGGGUGGGAUUGCUCGAGUGUCAAGCAGAUUGGAUAUCAGCGUGACUGAAUUAUGCGAACAAUGGAUUCUUGGUACAAUGGAUGAUGGACUAAUGGCAUAACGACUGGACAGAUCUGACAAGUAAGAAAAGGAACCAGGAAAUGUAAACUAUUCAAGUUUGACAGUGCUGCGUGGCUGGGCUUCUUAACCCCCACUUGAUGGAUGGCUGGCAAGCCCUGUGGAGUACAUCUUCUGUCCUCCCGUGCAGAAAUGAGUCUUUCUAGAACCGUCAUUUAUUGGACCCGGAGCCAUGUCCCUUGAACUAGAAACCGUCUUGGAAACAUCGCAACUAUGGUCCUCUUCAAGCAGCAGUAUAUGCUCGUCAAAUGAGGUGGUAAAGAAUCCCUCGCUGUGGCUUCAAGAGUUAUGAAGAGAAACUUUGAAGUGGGUUCAAUGUUCUCUCCUGUAAGAGCGAGGUUGUAUUAUAGUGGCUGAGGAAGAAGAGCCUUCGGAUCCUAUUCUUGGUACUUCUCCUUGGGGAGUCCCUGUCACGGUCUGGACGGAUCUUCCAGUUUAUGUAGCUACUGUUAUGACAGUCUCCUGAACACUUUGUUUCAUCUGAGGGGGCACCUCUAUAAAACUGUAGACUUCAGACGGCACCGUAUACUAGCAUGCAUCUGGUCACUCAGACUACACCCAGAUCAAUAAGACAUCCUUCAUGCAAUGUGGAUGCAAUAUUUUGGUAAUGGCAAGAAAGUGGAGAUAAGGCCUCGGAACAAAACGGAGCAUGUAAAUUCUGUAGCGCUGUAAAUCAGGUAGAUUUAGAAUUAUGGGUUUGGCAGUUUUUGAAUCUCUAAUGCUGCAGUACUGUCUGUUAAGCAAGAGUUUUAGCGCAGAACAUAAAUGAGGCAAAUAUGGGCACUUGAAUUGGUGUCAUUAUGGUUUGUAUUGAUUUGAUAAAGCAUUCCAGCUCCCAAAUUUCAUCGUUGGGUGGUUGAUUUGUCAGCUGAGGGGGGGGCCUCUGGCAGCACGUCGCAAGAUCGGCAUUUGCGUAACCGUCACCAAAUAGCGAUUAAAAUCAGUAACAUCCAGAGUAUUAGAAUUUCUUGUGCUUUUUACAUCAUGUAAUAUUGAAAUGUAACAUUGACAAUUUUCCUUGAAGUUAUUACGCCAAAAAAACGCGUCGAUAAUCGCACUCUACAACUGCGUUCUUGCGUGCACAUUUUAUAGUUGCGUAUAAGAAGAGGAUAAAGUUGAAGGCUGCGACAUUUACAUUUGAGGCAAUUUGGUGUUUCCGCACCAUGGCUCCUUGGAUCUACAGCAACCCAGCAGCUGAAUAUGGCUAAGUACCAUUUUGCUAUCAUAUUUCCAUUGAUGCUGCUAGUGUUCUAAAUUCCUGUGCUGUGAUUGUGCUGUAAACAAAAUCAAUUAGUGUGGAAUUACUUUACACUAUACUUAUGGCGGCUAGUAGUAGUACUUAUCUGAAAGUUCAACAGCUAAAAUAAUGCAUCCAUGUGCCACAUGUUAAAGUAAUAUCAACCAUAGAACGGUACAGAGCUGAGCUUGUAAAUGCAGUUUGUCACCAGUUCUGCCUCCACAUCCAGGUCCAUCACCCCCCCCCCCCCGUAUCACCACUGGCCGAAGGACUCCAUAGCAGUGAGGAUCCCCUGGAUGAACCAUGAGGCAGCAGGGUGGAGCAGAGGCCGGGAACCAGCAGGUUACUCCCAGGUAUCAUCACCGAGCUCUUCUGAGUCGCCCAGAGGUUGUAGUGAUUUAUAAUUUUUCGUUUUUCAUUCUGUGUAAUUUUACCAAGAUGUUAUUUGAGGUAACAUUUUGGGUCGUAUUGGCUAUUAGUGCUGCCACUAAUACUAGUACUAUAGUAUACACAUUUUCUCUAGGUCAACUUGAGGAAUUUCGAUAUUUGCUUCCCCUUUACAAAUGUACGGGUGAAAGGAUUACAUCCACGGGUUAGUUACCAGAUGAUGGACUGAACUACCGCUGUUUGAUAGCAGACCGGGGAGCUGAUGGAGCUGAUGGAGCUGAUGCUGCAGGGGAGCUGAUGGAGCUGGGGAGCUGAUGCUGAUGGAGCUGAUGCUGCAGGGGAGCUGAUGGAGCUGAUGCUGCAGGGGAGCUGAUGGAGCUGAUGCUGCAGGGGAGCUGAUGGAGCUGAUGCUGCAGGGGAGCUGAUGAUGGCGCCGGGCUGGGGGUCCGGCCUGACGAAGGAUGUUCCUGUUGGGGUGAAGCUGAUGACUCACCUGGAACGAUGCAUGGACCACAAUGGGACUAAUUAAGCCUUUGAAAGAGCAGGAGUCCAUGGCUGAGGAAGGAGUCGUCAGGAGGAAGACCAUGAGUCGGCCUGCCAACAAGCGUCACUGGGGAGUUUGCAUCAACUGUUUUGUUUGCCAUCAGACAUGACCGCAAACGACCAAUAUUACCAAACCAGUCAGACUGCUUCUGUGUGUUACCAGACCACAAAAACUAGUGUGAUGUUUGUUACCAGACUAAAUAAUCCUGUUGCAAGACAAACUACCACUGUUUGAUACAAGACUAAAUAAUGCUGUUACCAGACAAACUACCACUGUUUGAUACAAGACUAAAUAAUGCUGUUACCAGACAAACUACCACUGUUUGAUACAAGACUAAAUAAUGCUGUUACCAGACAAACUACCACUGUUUGAUGCAAGACUAAAUAAUACUGUUACCAGACAAACUACCACUGACGGAUACCAGACUAAAUAAUGCUGUUACCAGACAAACUACCCCUGCUGGUUACCAGAUGUUGAGGCGUAACCAAUGCUGUUUGUUUUCCAGAGCCGUGGCGGAGCUAUGUUGGAGGGCUGGUGAACGCUGUCCCUAGUGCGGCCUGAUUGUGAUCAGAGGACGCAGACGGCUCUCCAGGGGUCACUUGGAGGACAACCAUGUGUCGGUCUUUGGAAGGCAGUGCUACUACAUUUACCAGACCAGGAGUCCUGGGCUGAUCAGCUGAUGGGGGGGACAUUGCAUCUGGAGGAAGACCAUGGUUCUACCUGCCAACGAGCAUUACUGCUGCUGAAAUGCUGUGGCAGACACACCUGAGCUGUAUCCUUAGACGGCAAAGUCCUUCAGAGUGACAAAUAAAGAGCGCCUCAUCGCAGCUGAAGUCAUCGCUUUACUGGGGAUUCAUCGCUGGACUGUGGAUCAUCUCCUACAUCCACAGAACUUUACUUUGUCAUCAUCUGUCACAUAAGGAUUCCUCCUAAUGUGUUCCAUUAAGGUUCUUUUUCCUUCAAGGUGUUUGGGUUCAGUGUUAGGGACAGAGUUAGGGCGAGUUGGUUGAGGAAUGGGCUGGUUUCAUGAUGUAAUGCUGUAUUUUUGUAUUGGGUUGGACAUUGGACUAAAAAACCCAAGAUGUUGUGCAAACGCUUUUUACAAUAUGUACUAAUGGUGUUUCUAUAAUAAAAACCCCAUAAAAAAAUCAUGUUUAAUGCAGUUUCCUGAGUCAGUAUUUUGCACUGUCAACUAACCCUAACCCCCAU